GACGAACGCUGGCGGCGUGCUUAACACAUGCAAGUCGAACGGAAAGGCCCUGCUUUUGUGGGGUGCUCGAGUGGCGAACGGGUGAGUAACACGUGAGUAACCUGCCCUUGACUUUGGGAUAACUUCAGGAAACUGGGGCUAAUACCGGAUAGGAGCUCCUGCUGCAUGGUGGGGGUGGGAAAGUUUCGGCGGUUGGGGAUGGACUCGCGGCUUAUCAGCUUGUUGGUUGGGUAGUGGCUUACCAAGGCUUUGACGGGUAGCCGGCCUGAGAGGGUGACCGGCCACAUUGGGACUGAGGUACGGACCAGAGUCCUACGGGAGGCAGCAGUGGGGAAUAUUGCACAAUGGUCGGAAGCCUGAUGCAGCAACGCCGCGUGCGGGAUGACGGCCUUCGGGUUGUAAAACGCUUUCGCCUGUGACGAAGCGUGAGUGACGGUAAUGGGUAAAGAAGCACCGGCUAACUACGUG
rnacentral:rRNA from 1 species